rnacentral:rRNA from 1 species
CCUACGGGUGGCAGCAGUGAGGAAUAUUGGUCAAUGGACGCAAGUCUGAACCAGCCAAGUAGCGUGCAGGAUGACGGCCCUCCGGGUUGUAAAAUGCUAUUAGUUGGGAAUAAAAGGGGGCUCGUGAGCCCCGUAUUGUAUGUACCAUCAGAAAAAGGACCGGCUAAUUCAGUGCCAGCAGCCGCGGUAAUACGGAAGGUCCGGGCGGUAUCCGGGUUUAUUGGGUUUAAAGGGAGCGUCGGCAGGCCUUUAAGUCAGCUGGGAAAGUCUGCGGCUCAACCGUGGAAUUGCAGUUGAAAAGGGAGGCCUUUAGGGCACACAGGGAUGCCUGAAUUCAUGGUGUAGCGGUGACAUGCUUAGAUAUCAUGAAGAACUCCGAUCGCGAAGGCAAGUGUCCGGGGUGCAACUGACGCUGAGGCUCGAAAGUGCGGGUAUCAAACAGGAUUAGAUACCCCUGUAGUC